rnacentral:rRNA from 1 species
GAUGAACGCUGGCGGCGUGCCUAAUACAUGCAAGUCGAGCGAACGGACGAGAAGCUUGCUUCUCUGAUGUUAGCGGCGGACGGGUGAGUAACACGUGGAUAAUCUACCUAUAUGACUGGGAUAACUUCGGGAAACCGGAGCUAAUACCGGAUAAUAUUUUGAACCGCAUGGUUCAAAAGUAAAUGACGGUCUUGCUGUCACUUAUAGAUGGAUCCGCGCUGCAUUAGCUAGUUGGUAAGGUAACGGCCUAGCAAGGCAACGAUGCAUAGCCGACGUGAGAGAGGGGUCGACGACACGAGAAGUGGAACGCGGUCCAGGGUCCUGCGGUAGGGAGCAGUAGGGAAUGUUCCGCAGUAGGCGAGAGCCUGGCGGAACGGCGCCGCGUGAGAUAUAAAGGUGUUGGGAGCGUGAAACUGUGUUAUUGGGGGUGAACAUAUGUGUAAGUAGCUGUAGACAGCUUGACGGUACCGGAUCAGAAAGCCACGGCUAACUACGUG